GAUGAACGCUGGCGGCGUGCCUAUACAUGCAAGUCGAGCGAACGGACGAGAAGCUUGCUUUUCUGAUGUUAGCGGCGGACGGGUGAGUAACACGUGGAUAACCUACCUAUAAGACUGGGAUAACUUCGGGAAACCGGAGCUAAUACCGGAUAAUAUUUUGAACCGCAUGGUUCAAAAGUGAAAGACGGUCUUGCUGUCACUUAUAGAUUGAUCCGCGCUGCAUUAGCUAGUUGGUAAGGUAACGGCUUACCAAGGCAACGAUGCAUAGCCGACCUGAGAGGGUGAUCGGCCACACUGGAACUGAGACACGGUCCAGACUCCUACGGGAGGCAGCAGUAGGGAAUCUUCCGCAAUGGGCGAAAGCCUGACGGAGCAACGCCGCGUGAGUGAUGAAGGUCUUCGGAUCGUAAAACUCUGUUAUUAGGGAAGAACAUAUGUGUAAGUAACUGUGCACAUCUUGACGGUACCUAAUCAGAAAGCCACGGCUAACUACGUG
rnacentral:rRNA from 1 species